CGCAGCCGCGGUAAUUCCAGCUCCAAUAGCGUAUAUUAAAGUUGUUGCAGUUAAAAAGCUCGUAGUUGAAUUUCGGGAUCAAUAUGUUGGUCGUGCCUUGGUACGUACUGGCAUUAUUGGUUUCUACCUUCUGAAGAACCUCGAUGUCAUUAAUUUGGUGUCUUGGGGAAUCAGGACUGUUACUUUGAAAAAAUUAGAGUGUUUAAAGCAGGCUCGCGCUUGAAUACAUUAGCAUGGAAUAAUGAAAUAGGACGUUUGAUUCUAUUUUGUUGGUUUCUAGGAUCGACGUAAUGAUUAAUAGGGAUAGUUGGGGGCAUUAGUAUUCAAUUGUCAGAGGUGAAAUUCUUGGAUUUAUUGAAGACUAACUACUGCGAAAGCAUUUGCCAAGGAUGUUUUCAUUAAUCAAGAACGAAAGUUAGGGGAUCGAAGACGAUCAGAUACCGUCGUAGUCUUAACCAUAAACUAUGACCGACUAGGGAUCGGAUGAUGUUAAUUUUUAAUGUACUCAUUCGGCGCCUUA
rnacentral:misc_RNA from 1 species